CAGCCGCCACGGGAAUACGAAGGGUGCAAGCGUUACUCGGAAUUACUGGGCGUAAAGCGUGCGUAGGUGGUGGUUUAAGUCCGUUGUGAAAGCCCUGGGCUCAACCUGGGAAUUGCAGUGGAUACUGGGUCACUAGAGCGUGGUAGAGGAUAGUGGAAUUUCCGGUGUAGCAGUGAAAUGCGUAGAGAUCGGAAGGAACAUCUGUGGCGAAGGCGACUAUCUGGGCCAACACUGACACUGAGGCACGAAAGCGUGGGGAGCAAACAGGAUUAGAUACCCCUGUAGUCCCUGUCUCUUAUCA
rnacentral:rRNA from 1 species